rnacentral:misc_RNA from 1 species
CCAAUAGCGUAUAUUAAAGUUGUUGCAGUUAAAAAGCUCGUAGUUGAAUUUCAGGCCUGGCUGGACGGUCCGCCCUUCGGGUGAGUACUGUCUGUGGUCGGGUCCUACCUUCUGGCGAAGCGUCAUGGCCUUAACCGGCCGUGGCGGGGAACCAGGACUUUUACUGUGAAAAAAUUAGAGGGUUCAAAGCAGGCAAUCGCUUGGAUACAUUAGCAUGGAAUAAUGGAAUAGGACAAUGGUUCUAUUUGUUGGUUUCUAGGACCGUUGUAAUGAUUAAUAGGGAUAGUUGGGGGCAUUAGUAUUCAAUUGUCAGAGGUGAAAUUCUUGGAUUUAUUGAAGACUAACUACUGCGAAAGCAUUUGCCAAGGAUGUUUUCAUUAAUCAAGAACGAAAGUUAGGGGAUCGAAGACGAUCAGAUACCGUCGUAGUCUUAACCAUAAACUAUGCCGACUAGGAAUCGGGCGAUGUUGAAAAAAUGACGCGCUCGGCACCUCAUG